CACGUAGGGCGCAAGCGUUGUCCGGAAUUAUUGGGCGUAAAGAGCUCGUAGGCGGUCUGUUGCGUCCGCUGUGAAAACUCGGGGCUUAACCCCGAGCCUGCAGUGGAUACGGGCAGACUAGAGGUAGGUAGGGGAGAAUGGAAUUCCCGGUGUAGCGGUGAAAUGCGCAGAUAUCGGGAGGAACACCGGUGGCGAAGGCGGUUCACUGGUCCAUUACUGACGCUGAGGUGCGAAAGCGUGGGGAGCAAACAGG
rnacentral:rRNA from 1 species